rnacentral:rRNA from 1 species
AGUGAACGCUGGCGGUAGGCCUAACACAUGCAAGUCGAACGGCAGCACAGAGGAGCUUGCUCCUUGGGUGGCGAGUGGCGGACGGGUGAGGAAUACAUCGGAAUCUACUCUGUCGUGGGGGAUAACGUAGGGAAACUUACGCUAAUACCGCAUACGCCCUACGGGUGAAAGACGGGGACCGUCGGGCCCUGCGCGCUUGAAUGGGCCGAUGUCGGAUUAGCUAGUUGGCGGGGUAAAGGCCCACCAAGGCGACGAUCCGUAGCUGGUCUGAGAGGAUGAUCAGCCACACUGGAACUGAGACACGGUCCAGACUCCUACGGGAGGCAGCAGUGGGGAAUAUUGGACAAUGGGCGCAAGCCUGAUCCAGCCAUACCGCGUGGGUGAAGAAGGCCUUCGGGUUGUAAAGCCCUUUUGUUGGGAAAGAAAUCCAGCUGGCUAAUACCCGGUUGGGAUGACGGUACCCAAAGAAUAAGCACCGGCUAACUUCGUGCCAGCCGCCGCCGUAA